CCCGACCAGUACCGGCCCCACGUUCCAUGCCCCCGACCCGACCAGUACCGGCCCCACGUUCCAUGCCCCCGACCCGACCAGUACCGGCCCCACGUUCCAUGCCCCCGACCCGACCAGUACCGGCCCCACGUUCCAUGCCCCCGACGCCCCCAGUCCCCGCUCCGAGACUCAGGCUCCCUCCCUCCCAUCCCAUGGUCCUCUCCCACCCUCCCGUUGGUGAUUUGAGGGCCGUCUGGGAUCCGGCCCUUGAGGGGGGGGCUAUGGGGUGGGUUAUGGGGGGGGCUGAGCUGCCACCGACUGCGGAGGUGUUCCGUGUCCCCGAGCUGGAGCCGACUACGGAGGUGUUCCCUGUCCCCGAGCUGGAGCCGACGGCGACAACCGCGGAGGUGUUCCGUGUCCCCGAGCUGCCGCCGCCGACAACCGCGGAGGUGUUCCGUGUCCCCGAGCUGCCGCCGCCGACAACCGCGGAGGUGUUCCGUGUCCCCGAGCUGCCGCCGCCGACCCCGGAGGUUUCCCGUGUCCCCGAGCCUGCCAUUCUAGAGACGUUCCGUGCCCUGCAGUCGCCGCUCCGGAGCCGGCUUGGUGACCGCCCGCCGGGCCGACCCCCAGAGGCUCCCCGCUCGUCUGGCCACCCGCCGGGCCGCCCGCCAGAGUUUCCCGGGUGGUCCGACCAACGUCUCUGGUUUCCCUGCCCCCCCACCCUUUGUUUUGCUCUAGUGUGAGCCGCCUGGAAGUCGGUCCUUGAGGGGGGGGUACUGUCACGGUGUGGUUCACUUCCUGUUUUAUUUUGUAGUUUUCUGCCACUCGUGUCCCCGGGUAACUUCACUUCCUGCCUUGUCUCGUCAUCCCCUGUGUUCGUCUAAUAGUUUCCACCUGUGUUCCAAUCACCUGCACCUCCCUUGUGUAUUUAAGCCAUGUAUCUCCUGUGUCACUUGUCGCGUCAUUGUCUUUCGCCACGCAUGUCCUUGUCUUUUGUCACACAUGUUGCCUGCUGCGUUUCCUCCCGGUUCCUGUGUUUUUGAACAUUGACUAUUAAAGUCCUUUGUGUUUCCUGAAC
ensembl:lncRNA